rnacentral:lncRNA from 1 species
GGAAGCGAUGAUUCCUCAGCUACAGUUUCUUCCCACAGAAAACCUGUAUGGUAAUUCUGGCACAAUUUGAGUUAGGGUGUGUGCAUCAGGCGUGAUGCAGCAUGGUGUGAAAGUAACAGAUCUUGACAUUCCCUUAAGCUCAUGAUCAGGUUUAUUGGCUUUUUGUUUUGUCCUUUUUGACCUGUGACUUCAUUCAGUUUGCAGAGUACAUAUGCCAGAUAGAUGUAGGGGAAAACCUGUAACCAAGCUUGCACUGAACUUGUCCCAGAUAGGUUCUCAUGCAACUACAAGACCUCCCAGAGAAAUACCUAACACGAAGAGAUUGUCUUUGGCUCAUCCUUGCUAAAGAUAAGGGUGGUGGCAUGUUCCAGGACUUAGCCAGGAUCUCAGGAUCAACACUGUAGAUCCCAACAGCACUGGGAGAGCAUGGAACGAAUGCAUCUGUACCCAUGGAGAUGGGCACAGUGGCAUUGCUCUGGCCCAGGCAGAGGUGGGUCCUCUGCUGUCUUUUGGUCCUGAGCUCCUCAGUAGGUUCUUAUGACACUGAUGGAAAGAACCUGUUGAGGUAAAGCUCAGUCCUCUCCUUUCUGACAUUUUCCCCCCAGUCACUGUCCCAGCUGAAGGUGAAGGAUGAUGCACCGGAAGUUAAACAGCUGCUCUUUCACUAGUCUUAGUUCUCACUGGUAUUUGACACUGCUGUUUUUAAGGCCUGAUUUUAAGGCUUAUGAAGGAAACAGAGUGCCCCAGCAUCACCCUCCAGACUGCCCUGUCUGCACUCAUUUUGUGUGAGUGUUAUGCUUAGUACAUGCUGUUGUUCUGUGAGGUCACAGAUAAGGAAUUUUGAGACCAUUCUUAGAGUGCUGUCACCAGAUUCCUGUUUGGAUGUGAGUCUUGAAGAUCUGCAUCUGAUGAGCCUAAAUGUUGACAGAGUUAAUGCAGAUGUGGGAGUUUCAAGCCCAGUGAGUGGGGCAGUGCUUGCCAGGCUGGCAGGUGGCAGCUUGGUGGCAAUUGCACAGUUGGGCAGCCUUGGAGAAGAAAGCCAGAAGGCCAAGUAAUUCCAGCAUGGCUCAACCGGCUGCUGAAACCGCGACACCUGAGACACAAGAACUUGGCCAACAUCACUUGGAGUUGCUGUCUCCUGGCUUUUGGCUUCCAGCACAGCUUGAAUUUACUCCUGAGUAGACCUCAUGUCUGCCUUCUGUUUAUCCAGCUGUUAUCAACAAAUGUGCUUACUUG